rnacentral:tRNA from 1 species
UGGGGGCUCGUCUAACGGCAGGACAGCAGACUCUGAAUCUGUUAAUAGAGGUUCGAAUCCUUUGCCCCCAGCUA